rnacentral:rRNA from 1 species
UGGGGAAUUUUCCGCAAUGGGCGCAAGCCUGACGGAGCAAUACCGCGUGAGGGAGGAAGGCUUUUGGGUUGUAAACCUCUUUUGUUAAGGAAGAAGCAAGUGACGGUACUUAACGAAUCAGCAUCGGCUAACUCCGUGCCAGCAGCCGCGGUAAUACGGAGGAUGCAAGCGUUAUCCGGAAUCAUUGGGCGUAAAGCGUCCGCAGGUGGUUAUUCAAGUCUGCUGUUAAAGACAGAGGCUCAACUUCUGGUCGGCGGUGGAAACUGGGUAACUAGAGUACGGUAGGGGUUGAGGGAAUUCCCAGUGUAGCGGUGGAAUGCGUAGAUAUUGGGAAGAACACCAGUGGCGAAGGCGCUCAACUGGGCCGUAACUGACACUCAGGGACGAAAGCUAGGGUAGCCAAAGGGAUUAGAUACCCCCGUAGUCC